GGAAUAUUGCACAAUGGGGGGAACCCUGAUGCAGCGACGCCGCGUGAAGGAAGAAGUAUCUCGGUAUGUAAACUUCUAUCAGCAGGGAAGAAAAUGACGGUACCUGACUAAGAAGCCCCGGCUAACUACGUGCCAGCAGCCGCGGUAAUACGUAGGGGGCAAGCGUUAUCCGGAUUUACUGGGUGUAAAGGGAGCGCAGACGGCAUAGCAAGUCUGAUGUGAAAGGCUGGGGCUUAACCCCGGGACUGCAUUGGAAACUGUUAAGCUUGAGUGCCGGAGAGGUAAGCGGAAUUCCUAGUGUAGCGGUGAAAUGCGUAGAUAUUAGGAGGAACACCAGUGGCGAAGGCGGCUUACUGGACGGUAACUGACGUUGAGGCUCGAAAGCGUGGGGAGCAAACA
rnacentral:rRNA from 1 species